rnacentral:lncRNA from 1 species
UGGUAAGAUCGUGUUGCAAUCGGAUAACUCGUGGAAUGGUCGUAGUGAGAACGUGAUGAGCGUAGAAAGAUCUUGACAAGCGUAGUGAGGUCGCAGAAUAAGCGCGGUGAGAACGUGGUAUAAUCGUAGUGGGAUCGUUGUAGAAGCGUAAUGAGAACGUAGCAGGAUCGUGAAAGCAACGAAAAUUUACAUUUUCAUGCCGCUCAUACCGCGACCUCACCACGAUCUAAAUUUAUUUUAGAUCGCGGUGAGCGUGGUGCGAUCGUGGUCUAGUGGGACUGGG